UACGGGGGGGGCAAGCGUUGUUCGGAAUUACUGGGCGUAAAGGGUUCGUAGGUGGCCAACUAAGUCAGACGUGAAAUCCCUCAGCUUAACUGGGGAACUGCGUCUGAGACUGGAUGGCUUGAGUGCAGGAGAGGAACGCGGAAUUCCAGGUGUAGCGGUGAAAUGCGUAGAUAUCUGGAGGAACACCGGUGGCGAAGGCGGCGUUCUGGACUGCUACUGACUCUGAGGAACGAAAGCCAGGGGAGCAAACGGG
rnacentral:rRNA from 1 species